rnacentral:rRNA from 1 species
AGUGAACGCUGGCGGUAGGCCUAACACAUGCAAGUCGAACGGCAGCACAGUAAGAGCUUGCUCUUACGGGUGGCGAGUGGCGGACGGGUGAGGAAUACAUCGGCAUCUACUUUUUCGUGGGGGAUAACGUAGGGAAACUUACGCUAAUACCGCAUACGACCUACGGGUGAAAGCAGGGGAUCUUCGGACCUUGCGCGAUCGAAUGAGCCGAUGUCGGAUUAGCAAGUUGGCGGGGUAAAGGCCCACCAAGGCGACGAUCCGUAGCUGGUCUGAGAGGAUGAUCAGCCACACUGGAACUGAGAGACGGUCCAGACUCCUACGGGAGGCAGCAGUGGGGAAUAUUGGACAAAGGGCGCAAGCCUGAUCCAGCCAGACCGCGUGGGUGAAGAAGGCCUUCGGGUUGUAAAGCCCUUUUGUUGGGAAAGAAAAGCAGCAGGUUAAUACCCCGCUGUUCUGACGGUACCCAAAGAAUAAGCACCGGCUAACUUCGUG